rnacentral:rRNA from 1 species
GACGAACGCUGGCGGCGUGCUUAACACAUGCAAGUCGAGCGAGAAACCUUCGGGUUUCUAGCGGCGGACGGGUGAGUAACACGUGGGUAACCUGCCUCAAAGAGGGGGAUAGCCUUCCGAAAGGAAGAUUAAUACCGCAUAAUAUUACAGUUUCGCAUGCAGCAGUAAUUAAAGGGGUAAUCCGCUUUGAGAUGGACCCGCGGCGCAUUAGCUAGUUGGAGAGGUAACGGCUCACCAAGGCAACGAUGCGUAGCCGACCUGAGAGGGUGAUCGGCCACAUUGGAACUGAGGCACGGUCCAGACUCCUACGGGAGGCAGCAGUGGGGAAUAUUGCACAAUGGGCGAAAGCCUGAUGCAGCAACGCCGCGUGAGUGAUGAAGGUCUUCGGAUUGUAAAGCUCUGUCUUUUGGGACGAUAAUGACGGUACCAAAGGAGGAAGCCACGGCUAACUACGUGCCAGCAGCCGCAGUAA